AGAAAAGGGUCGAUGCACCAUCAUGUGAGUCCAUGCUAAAAGGUCUUCGAAAGAGAGAGUUCAGUCAGUUCUCUUUUCCUGUUUUCUUGUCUUCGUGUGUAGCAAUCAAGAGAGUCAGUGAAACUAGAGGGUUGUUUCUAGGUUGAUGAUGAUUGACUCUUAGCAUUGGAGAUAUGUCUAAUCAACCUAGAAAACUCUUUUUGUUGUGUCUUUGUAGUCGUUUGUAAUUUCAUAUUUGGUUGUUUGAUUCGGUCCUAUAAUUCUUAUUAUAUAUAAAAUUCA
rnacentral:lncRNA from 1 species